AUUCCAGCUCCAAUAGCGUAUAUUAAAGUUGUUGCAGUUAAAAAGCUCGUAGUUGGAUUUCUGGUCUGAUGCCCUGGCCCGCUUCGAUUUCGAGGUGAGUGCCGGCUGUGCGUCUACCAUCCUUCUAGAAAACGUUCCUACCCUUAAUUGGGCCGGGUUCGCGAUCUAGAUCUUUUACUUUGAAAAAAUUAGAGUGUUUAAAGCAGGCUUGAGCUAUGAAUACAUUAGCAUGGAAUAAUAAUCUAGGACUUCGGUUCUAUUUUGUUGGUUUCUAGUACUGAAGUAAUGAUUGAUAGGGAUCGUUGGGGGUGCUAGUAUUGAGCGGCCAGAGGUGAAAUUCUUGGAUUCGCUCAAGACUAACUUAUGCGAAAGCAUUCACCAAGGAGGUCUUCAUCG
rnacentral:rRNA from 1 species